ACUAAGAGAAGUCGAAUAAAAUGUUGUUUUGAUACCUAGAAUAAUGUGGAGGUUUUUGUUUUCUUAAGAGAAUAUUAUUUAACUUCAUGAAUUUUUAGAAAAAAAAAAUUAAAUAUAAUUCUAGCUUCAAAAAUGUUUUCUACAGGAAUAUUAGAACCGAAAUUCCUUAUCAAAAAAGUUGAACGCCUUAAAGAAGUUGACAGUAAACAAAUUCACAAUGGAUACAUUUCAUAUUUCGAUUUAUGUACAGGGUUGCUGGUGGUCAGUUUGUGCAACAUAUUUAUUAAUACGAGUAUAAAUAAGAAGCCUCCUAUAUAGUAAUUUAAGAGGAAUAGUUCUUUGUAUUUCAAGUGUAUAUUAAAGGUCUAAACAUUUAAACAGGAAGCGGGACAAGGAGCAGUAGAUCAUAACACUUGCAAUUCUGUUUUAAUUAUUAAAUGAGACCGUUUGUAGUUUGUUAUAAUAAAUUACAAAUAAGUUAAAUAGUUUGUAAUCCUCGAUUCAAAUUGCAUCAUAAAUUCCAUAUUAAUAUUAUAAUG